AGGAAAGCUCAGGCAGCCGCUUUCAAUGUAACAGUUGGGAGAGGAAAGUCCGGACACUCAAGGGCAAUGCACCGCGUGAAAGCGCGGGUACAGCGGGGCAAACCCGCUGUAACGGAUCAGUAUCACAGAAAAUAAACUACCUUUUUAGGGGCUUGCCCCAAAAAAAGGAAAAGGUGAAAAGGCGGUGUAAGAGACCACCGUGCAUUCAGUAAUGAAUGCUGCAAGAUAAACCCUGCAGGAGUGCAAGGCCGCGUAAAGUAUCACUCUUGGGCUGCCCGCCUGAAUCCGCAUUUAUUGCGGUGUGAUACAGGGUAGGCUGCAUCAGAUAAAUGGCUGUCCAAGCCCCUUUCAGGGGCGGGUACAGGAUCCGGCUUAUGAGCUUUCCGUUUA
rnacentral:RNase_P_RNA from 1 species